UUUGGGUGUUUGGAUUUCUUUGAAAAUGGCGGCGGUGCAUGAAUAAUUUGCCGUGUUCUGCAUUGAAUUAACUUAAUGUGCGUGUUUUUCGCAACAAUUCGGGUCUCCGAGGGCACAGGCGGCUUUCCUGGACAGUGCUGGAUUCGGACGGAGGCCGAAUUUGUCCACGGCGGAGGAUGUUCUAUCCUUUGAAGGCGUGCGAGUUGGUGCCGCGGGACGUGUUCGUACCGGCGAGUCGGAUGCCGUCCGCGUGGGAUGGCGAGCUCGGAUGGCACUCGGGAAACGGCUUGGCGUCCGUGAUGGACGGCCUCUCGGAAUGCGGGAGCGGCUGAAGUCGUCGGCUGCCGAAUCAUCCGGCGCGAAGGUCGGCAAGUCGUCGUCGUUGUCGACCGUCGGAGGCAGAAGAGAACGAGUUGCUGACUGACUCAAAUAGCCUGGAGACGAAGUUGGUUCCAUUGUCGGUGAUGAGGCCCUCGACUGCUCCAUAGCGGCAAACUACGGUCUCGACAAAAGCUCGUGCCACUGAUUCUGCUGUUUGAUCUUCUAGAGGAGCCGCUUCUACAUAUUUGGCAAAGGUCCUACAAUAUCGGCAUACCAAAGUUCUCCAACUCUGACUGCCGUCUUUUGUAUCUGCUGAGGGGCAUGAAGUAGCUGGUUCUGUUUUCUAUACUGGCAUUCGACGCAGUUAUGAAGGUGGUCUGAUAUCGACUGAUCCAUCUUCGGCCAGUAGUACCUUUUGAACGUCUAUUUCUGGCCUGGAGAGAAAAUCUACUCGCUGGACUGUUUUUCCUGGGGCGUGGUGGACCACAAAAUCAAACUGCUGCAGUUGGAGAAUCCAUCUUCCAAGCAUAGGUGGAAUAAGUUUCCUUCCAGGUACACCCUGAAGUGUUCAACUGCUGCAACGACGGCGAGACAUUCGAGUUGACAGGCUGAGUAGGCCUGUUGUGCGCCUGCCAGUUUUUUGCUGAAGAACGCAACUGGUCGUCGCUCUUCGUCGGUGUCCCCCUGUUCUAAGACAGCUGCGACAGCUUUCGCACUUGCGUCUGUUGUGAGGUGAAACGGCUUGGUGAGGUCUGGGAAAGCCGUUGUCACCAUAUUUUCCAGUGCCUGAAGCAGGUUUUGGACGUCUGUGAGAGGAGCGACUAUCUCGCUGUAUGAUGUUUUUGGCUGUCCUCUGUCCUUGAUGGCUUUCACUUUGUCUGGAUUUGGGUGCACACCGUGUUCGUCGAUGAUGAAACCCAAAAAUUCUACUUGAGUUUUUAUUAGCUGACAUUUGGCUGGGCCAAAUUUCAAACCCAAGUGGAUUGCUCGUUGAAACGUUUCGUCCAGUAAGCUGAUCAGCAUAAGAAUUGUACUCUUGUGGGACGCUUUCUAAGUUGAACAGAGCAAGGAAUUGAUCGUCAUCCAUUGGAGGUCCAGGAGUGUCCGGCCAGACCGGAGGUUCUCUUACAUCAGAUGGCUUGGUUUUCUGCAUACAGUUUUGGCACAGCAUGUACUCUUCGUCAGCGAUGCCCGCCGUUCCACAAUCAAAACAUUUUUCUUUUCGCACUUCGAGUUUUUGAAGAUGGCUGGAGGUUAACUGGAUGGGUUCAUCACUUGAAUUUAUAAACAGAACCUGGACGUAACCAUCUUCUUGAACUACAGAAAGAGUUGCUGGAAGUUCUUCAUGUUUUUCUUCUGUGAAAAGAUCAAUGCCCUGAAUGGUUUGUCGGGUCUGAAGUUCUGUCGGUGGAAUGGGAGCUUUUUACUAGUUUUAUUCGUCCAUCUGGCAUAACCUCUAUCAGCUCUUCGUAUUUUGCCACCAUUAGAAACUGUUAUGCAGUUUGCUGCUUGAGGUGUGAGAAGUAGGAGUUUGACUUUUCCCCAAUGGAAGCCUAAUGAGUCCUCCGAAACCAUUUCAACGACUACAAAUGAGUGGACGUAAUAGUGGUCGUCUAUUUUGAUUUCAACGUCUGCUUGUCCCAAGACUUUAAUUUGGCUUCCAUUUGCUGAACCAACUCUAUGUUGAAACGGAAUUAGUUGAAGGUUGAGUCUAUCAGCUAUCUUUUUUGUUAACAAGCUGACAUUUGCUCCGGAAUCAAUCAAAAGGCUUGGUAGUUUCUUUUGCUGGCUUCAGUCUGCUACGUUUUUGCUGAUUUGCUGAUUCGCAGUCUGUUGAUGAAUCUGUUUCUGAUGAAUUUGUAUCUGACGAAUUUGUAUCUGAUGAAUUCUCAUCACUGGUCUGAACUCCUACGCUGAUUUUAUACGGAGGUGGUGGAAGUUUAUUUAUUUCUCUUGUUUAGCUGGCUCCUCUAAUUCAUGUUUUUUGUUUUCGCAGGACAGUCAUAUGGGCAAUGUCCCGGUUUCCGACAGUAGCCACAAAUGAGUUGAGGACAGUCGGCAACCCAGUGACCUUCCUCCCUGCAAAGAUUACAAAUCUUUGGUCGACUUGGUGAAGACGAGCGAGAUCUUGAGCGAGUUGAGUAGCGCCUGUCAUUGUAGGGAGAAUUCGGCCUCGAAUCUUGUCGACUGCUACGUUCUGGUCUUGUAGGUGGAGCAGGCUGCUUCGCAUUCACCAUGUUGGCCAUGUUGGUCAUGUUCCAGUACGCUGUGGCCAUGGCAUUUGGUUGAGGAGCCCAAUAAGGACUUUGUGUUUGUUGUGGAGGUACUUGGCCCAUGUACGGAGGCAUCAUCUGAUUGUAGGCUGGAUAAUGUGGCCCGUACAUUUGCGGUUGUGCAGAAGGAGGAGGUUGGGGCGCCCAUUCAUUUGUUUGCCACAAAUUUUGCAUCAUUUGUGUGGCAAUGUCCACUUGGUUUGUCAUUAUUGGAUGUUGAGGAGUUAUGUUUGCUUGCAUAUGUGCUGCCUUUGUGAUGUUUAAGGUUUCCUCUGCGGUGAGAGCUGCUUGACGCGCUUGGGCCAUUGAUUUUACAGUUUGUGGCCCCACGAUGAAGUACAGCUCAGGACGUAGACCUUCAAUGAAUUUCUUAAAACAACGUUGGUCCCAUAUAUUUUUAUCUCCUUCUGGCGUGACGCCCAUGGGGAUUGUUGUUCGUCGACGCAGUUUAGCAGCCUUGCUCUGAACGUUGUGGUAUUGCUUGUCACUAGUUGGAGGACGAAAUUCUGCUCGGAAAGCUUCUUUCAGAGAAUUGACGUUGGCCAGGACUGUGCCGUCUAAAGCACGGACAAAUUCUCGUGCUCGACCAGACGUUCGCAUUUCCAAGACCCACUUGGUGUCGUUUGGUUGGAGGCCAUUGUAAUUUAUGAGUCCUUCCACGGAGCACAAGAAGUCCUCAAGUGACGAACCGUCAGAACGGCCCGUGAAUCUUGGGAUCAUGUCGACUGAUAUCAUGGGUUUUAAUAAUUGGGCUAUUCCUAUUGCAGGUUGGAAUCCCAUCAUUCCUGGAGGGGGCUGCAGACCUGGGGGUGGUAGUCCACCAGGUGGAGGAGGCCCACCAGGAGGUGGAGGAGGCCCACCAGGAGGUGGAAGAGGUCCACCAGGAGGUGGUUGGCCACCAGGGGGUGGUUGGUUACCAGGAGGUGGUUGCCAACCAGGAGCUGUGAGGGAUGGGCCGAAGGGAGGAUUUAUCCAAGUGCUUUGUGUGAUGCUUCCUGUUAUAUUUGUUGCAGAAGUUACUGGUGCAGUCGACGUUGUUGUUGUCGUCGAUGCUGCUGUCGUCGUGGACGAGGAAGACAUUGUUGUUGACAUUGUGAAUUUGUUCUAUUUGUUUAUUGUCAGUACUUUGCCUGUGUGAACCAGGAUCGCCAAUUUGGUUAGGAAAAAUUUAAAAUUAAUUUAUUCCUAUUUUAUAAGAUUGGAGGCAAGAGGCUUUUGUUAAAUAAAGUACUGUUUUUUUUUUAGAAAACUUCCAAUUUAUAACUCGACUAUUUUCAGGAAAUAAAAGGAAUUAAACAAAAUAAUUUACUGCUGUGGGUUUGGUUAUAUUCCCUAUAAAUUGCACACUUCUAAAUAUUUGAGAUUUGAUUUAAUUUUCUGGGAAUACAGUCUUGGUUUUUCGGGAAGGGGUUGCAGAAAGGGCGCUCUUGAGCGGGGUCGUAGCUGUGGGCGGCGGCAGGCAGCAGGAACUAUUGCCUCAGAGGUGGCUGGUCAGCUGGCAGCAGCAACGGUCCGGACACCUGCGGAGGUGGUUGACUCGCAGCAGGACGUGAUGGUCGGACGGAUGGCAGCGGGCGGGACCAGGUCUUCUCCUGAGAGCCACGGCAAGGCAGGUCACCGUCUGGAGGGCCUGGAAAUUAGGGGAAUAGUGAGUAUGGGCUGGUUAUUGAUAAAAUGGUUGUUGUAUUUAAUGCAACAACACAGUCGGACUUAGUUUACCUGGGUGAAUUGCAGGCACGGGUGUGGAGGGUGACUUGUAGCAGCCGGGGUGGAGUGUCCGGGUUAGGCGCCGCUUCUGUCCGACGUCGCUGUCCGGUGAGAGGGUCCGCCCUAGAACAGUAUUGGGGCCAUCAGCUGACCGCAAAGGAACUAGAGGGCGUAUCUCUUACCGUCAAGGUUGGACGGGACAGGUGCAGCUCGGGAUCCUCUGGCGGGGGCACAACUGACCAGGGUGGAGGCAAGGGAGGCCGUCCGGUCGGCUGGGACGGAACGGUCUGCUUGUGGUCGAACCUGGGAACAAAGAGUUAACUUUUGAGUUCCUCCGUCAGCAGCAGUGGCAAGAGAGUCGCCUACCUAAUCGGUUGGUUUCUUGGAAGAUGAUUACACCUGUCUUGGAAUACUGCUCGCUAUCCUCUUUUUCCCCUUUGGAAUCCUGUGCUGCCUUGCCUUGAGGAAUCGUCGAUGCUCCAAUUGUGGUGCUUAUUUUGGCUAAGAAUGGA